CUACGGGUGGCUGCAGUGAGGAAUAUUGCACAAUGGGGGGAACCCUGAUGCAGCAACGCCGCGUGGAGGAUGACGCAUUUCGGUGUGUAAACUCCUUUUAUAUGUCAAGAAAAUGACGGUAGCAUAUGAAUAAGCACCGGCUAACUCCGUGCCAGGCAGCCGCGGUAAUAAGGAGGGUGCAAGCGUUACUCGGAAUCACUGGGCGUAAAGGACGCGUAGGCGGGUUGGAAAGUCAGGUGUGAAAUCCUACAGCUUAACUGUAGAACUGCACUUGAAACUUCUAAUCUAGAGUAUGGGAGGGGGAGAUGGAAUUAGUGGUGUAGGGGUAAAAUCCGUAGAUAUCACUAGGAAUACCUAAAGCGAAGGCGAUCUCCUGGAACAUUACUGACGCUAAGGCGUGAAAGCGUGGGGAGCAAACAGGAUUAGAUACCCCUGUAGUC
rnacentral:rRNA from 1 species